rnacentral:snRNA from 1 species
AAAAAGGGUAGGCCCCUAAUAAGGCGCUCGAUCGAGGGAAAUGUUUCCCUCUCGGUGGUGAAUCGCGAUCACGAGAUUUGCCCUACAUAAUUUCUCCCCCGCUGGUGGCGCGAAUGGGGCCGCAAGGGCCCAAUUCCCACCA